CUUGGGGAUGCCCAAGGCAUCCCCUUCUUCAUCGACAACAUUAUCAGGUAAUCUGUAAUCAAAACGGAGAAAACCGUGCUAAGGUUGUUUUACUUCACACUACUUGGCCACGCAGCUAUGAAGCUCAUCUGGAGAGCUUGGGGGAGAAGUACAACGGCAAAGAACUCGGUCCUUUAGGUAUGUUCAAGGAGUUCCACUUGAGCUGACAUACGGGCUUCUCCACCCCCACUAAGAAUGAAAUUCUAAGGCAGCUUUCAAAGAGUCAUCACUAAUGUGAAGUUAUAUUAUGCUGCAUCUCAUAACCAUGUUUCUUUGAAAAACAAGGCUGAGAUGGAACAUGAGAUGUCUGUACCAACAGCUGAUGGAGGACGCAAGACUGAGGCUCAGGUUGUACACGAUGUCCUGUCAAAGCAAAUCUCCCAACCUACUUUUCUUCAGAACGUGGGGGUUGUGCAUCAGCCCUCUCAGCCUUGUCGAGUCAGAAAGAGCAAGCUUGCUGCAGAACUGGAAAGAGAGAAGAGUAGAAUUGCAGAGCUACGCGAUAUUAUUCAGAUCCAGAACUCUAAAAUUGAUCAGAUGGCCAGCAAGGCAAGAGAAAAGGAAGAGAAUCAGAGUUGGGUGUUUGCAAAGUUUGGGAUGUUGCUCGCGAUCGUUGAAAAAAUCGAGCAGCUGUCUUCGACUAAGUAAUCUUGAUUACAUCGUGAACAUGUGGGAUGUUUGACGCUUGAACUAUUGUUUGAUGUUGGGUUUGUCC